UACGGAGGGUGCAAACGUUGCUCGGAAUUACUGGGCGUAAAGGGAGCGCAGGCGGUAGAUUAAGUCAGAUGUGAAAGCCCGGAGCUCAACUCCGGAACUGCAUUUGAAACUGGUCAACUAGAGUUUGUCAGGGGAGAGUGGAAUUCCUGGUGUAGCGGUGAAAUGCGUUGAUAUCAGGAGGAACACCAGUGGCGAAGACGGCCCCCUGGAUCGAUACUGACGCUAAGGUGCGAAAGCGUGGGGAGCAAAC
rnacentral:rRNA from 1 species